rnacentral:rRNA from 1 species
CAACGCCGGCGUGGAGGAUGAAGCCCCUUGGGGCGUAAACUCCUUUCGAUCGGGACGAUAAUGACGGUACCGAGAGAAGAAGCCCCCGGCUAAACUUCGUGC